UAUGGCCCUAUCACAGAGAAACACCGGUUCUUGUUCAAUCACUGGAGUUAAGCAACAUCGAGCCUGGUCAGUACCUAGAUGAGUGAUCACUUGGGAAUACCUGAUGCUGU